CGGAUUGAAGGCUGAAAUUCGCCUUCAUGAAGCCGGAAUUGCUAGUAAUGGCAGGUCAGCAUACUGCCGUGAAUACGUUCCCGGGCCUUGUACACACCGCCCGUCACACCAUGAGAGUUGGGAAUACCCGAAGCCUGUGAGCUAACGUAAGAGGCAGCAGUCGAAGGUAGAAUCAAUGAUUGGGGUGAAGUCGUAACAAGGUAUC
rnacentral:rRNA from 1 species